UAAAUACUCCCUCCAUCCGGUAUUAAGUGUCGCAAAUUUUUCUAUAGGUACGCAUAUAUCUACACACUAAAACGCGUCUAGAUACAUGCUUAUCUAGACAAAGUUGUGACACUUGAUACCGGACGGAGGGAGUAUAUG
rfam:Brachypodium distachyon strain Bd21 chromosome 2, whole genome shotgun sequence.